rnacentral:rRNA from 1 species
UGGCUGCAAUGCAGUCGAACGGCGCACAACUCGUCUGGUGGCAAGUGGCGAACGGUGAGUAAUACAUCGGACGUGCCCGUUGUGGGGGAUAACUACUCUAAAGAGUACUAAUACCGCAUGAGACUGAGUUGAAGCAGGGAUCGUAAACCUUGGCAACUGGAGCGGCCGAUGGCAUUACGUAGUUGGUGGGAUAAAAGCUUACCAAGCCACGAUCUGUAGCUGGUCUGACAGACGACCACCACACUGGGACUGACACACGGCCCACACUCCUACGGGAGGCACUGGGGAAUUUUGGACAAUGGCGAGCCUGAUCCACCAAUGCCGCUGCAGGAUGAAGGCCUUCGGGUUGUAAACUGCUUUUGUACGAACAAAAGCUUCGGGUUAAUACCCUGGAGUCAUGACGUACCGUAAGAAUAAGCACCGGCUAACUACGUGCCAGCCCGCGGUAAUACUACGGUGCAAGCGUUAUCGAAUUACUGGGCGUAAAGCGUGCGCACGCGGUCUUGUAACAAGGUGAAAUCCCGGCUCAACCUGGAACUGCUUUGUGACUGCAGCUGGAGUGCGGCAGAGGGGAUGGAAUUCGCUGUAGCAUGAAAUGCGUAGAUAUGCGAGGAACACCGAUGGCAAGCAUCCUGGCCUGCACUGACCUCAUGCACGAGAGCUGGGAGCAAACCGAUAGAUACCCUGGUAGUCCACCCCUAAACGAUGUACUGGUUGUUGGGUCUUAACUGACUAUCGAACUACCGUGUUGACCCCUGGGAGUACGCCGCGUAACUAGGAUGACAGGACCCGACAGCGGGGAUAUGUGGUUAUAGCCGCAAACCUACCCUUUGAAUGUACGAUCUUAAGAUAAGAGUGCUGAAAAGAGCNCAGGUGCUGCAUGGGCGUAGCCGGUGUGAGAUGUGGGUCCCGCACCACCCUUGCCAUUUGCUAGAAGAAUAUGGUACUGCGGUGAAGGGGAUGACUCAGUCGCUGGCCCCUAUACUGGCUAGGCGUCCUCACUGUAGCCG